AGAUACAGAGGAACCUAUAUGGACCUGGAGUACAACCACAAAGGAGAAUAUUUUAUGUAAUGUGGACCAUAGGAAGAGUAUGACGCAAGGAUCCAUUUACUUCACACGAACUUUUCACACUCACUAUAAAUUGAAUCCGAUUCUUAGUAUGUACGAGGGAUUCUUUCCGAAGCACCGCGAAAACGUGAUGCAACUCUUCAAACGAGAUCCCCACUUUGUGGCGAAGGAAACUAUUGUCUUUCUGAGUAAAAAAUAUCGCUGUGCAGUGAUUAAGGUGACACCUACCCUACGUGGUCACCUAUCCUAUUAUGACCUCCGUGUUUGGAAUUCCAUGGUCGCGCGAGGCCCUCACAAAAAAUGCGUUACGCAAUUCAGGAAGCUGGCGCCAAACGGACACGUCAUUUAUGAGCAGAGGUGCCAGGGCAUUCUGCACAGUAACGGCUCUUCUAUUUCAGAUAUAAAAAGCACGAAGAACCGAAAGAAGAGGGUCAUUUCUCAAACUUUCGUGAGGUAGCGGCAACAAAAUAUAGAACAAUUAAACGAAGACCAUGGCAGCACUGUUUUAGGCGAAGAAAUGAAAUUUGGCGCAACACGAAUUCAGACCAAUCGAUGAAAGUUUAGUAAGUUACGUUCAAAAUCUUUGACGCAACCAAGCUAAGCAAUCAUGGUACCAUCCUUCGUAAAAUGUGGUAGCGGUUUCCAAAGUUUGUGAUUUACGAACUAUACUUUGAUGGCGUUUUCCUUCACUGCGAGAAACUCAGCUAUGAUUUCCUAAGUUGUUGAAUAAGGCAAAUAUUAGGGCAAGGCGCUGGAUAACGGCAUGCUUGAGGAUAUACCCUGUCCUGAACAACCUAGAUCAUUCACCGAGUUAAUAUUUGGAAGAAUACUAAUUUCCACCUUAUUUCAAUGCCUUAUAUGCGGCGCGUACCUGGAUUUCAUUUUCCGCUUGGAAUCGAAAUAGCGCAUGUCACUUAUUUUUCGAUGAAAUAGGAUCAAUUCGUUCGGGAUGUACAAUGAAAGAUUACACAUCGUACGUUAAAUACAGCUUUCAUGGAAAAUUACCUAUUCAAGUGUGUCAUAGCAUUGCAGG